CUGCAAUCUUUAAGUUUGGAUUCCAAUAUUGUUGAAUGGGAAAGGCAGUGGCUAAGUUACAUAGCUGAAAAGAGACUUUUGUUGAUCCAAAAGAAGGCAACAAACUAGGAAGAAAUUCCUUCUUGACCCCAAAAUAGCAGUCAGCUAGGAUCAAGCAGCUAUUAUCCCACCAAUUAGAAAUUAUAUCCCUGCAUGUUAUGUUUUUGCAAGUAUUUAUCCAAUUGCAGUUUAAACAUCUGUAUGCCGUUUAAACAUCUGGUAUGAUAUGAUAAAACCACCUCUUCAGGCAGAGAAUUCCAUAUCCUUAUUACUCUUUCUGUAAAAAAACGUUUUCUUUGCCUUAGAUGAAAUCUCCUUUCUUCCAGCCUAAAUGUGUGUCCUAUGUAUAGCCC